AACGAACGCUGGCGGCAUGCCUAACACAUGCAAGUCGAACGAGAUCUUCGGGUCUAGUGGCGCACGGGUGCGUAACGCGUGGGAAUCUGCCCUUUGGUUCGGAAUAACAGUUGGAAACGACUGCUAAUACCGGAUGAUGACGAAAGUCCAAAGAUUUAUCGCCAGAGGAUGAGCCCGCGUAGGAUUAGCUAGUUGGUGUGGUAAAGGCGCACCAAGGCGACGAUCCCUAGCUGGUCUGAGAGGAUGAUCAGCCACACUGGGACUGGGACACGGCCCAGACUCCUACGGGAGGCAGCAGUGGGGAAUAUUGGACAAUGGGCGAAAGCCUGAUCCAGCAAUGCCGCGUGAGUGAUGAAGGCCUUAGGGUUGUAAAGCUCUUUUACCCGGGAUGAUAAUGACAGUACCGGGAGAAUAAGCUCCGGCUAACUCCGUGCCAGCAGCCGCCGUAA
rnacentral:rRNA from 1 species